AGUGAACGCUGGCGGUAGGCCUAACACAUGCAAGUCGAACGGCAGCACAGUAAGAGCUUGCUCUUACGGGUGGCGAGUGGCGGACGGGUGAGGAAUACAUCGGAAUCUACUUUUUCGUGGGGGAUAACGUAGGGAAACUUACGCUAAUACCGCAUACGACCUACGGGUGAAAGCAGGGGAUCUUCGGCCCUUGCGCGAUUGAAUGAGCCGAUGUCGGAUUAGCUAGUUGGCGGGGUAAAGGCCCACCAAGGCGACGAUCCGUAGCUGGUCUGAGAGGAUGAUCAGCCACACUGGAACUGAGACACGGUCCAGACUCCUACGGGAGGCAGCAGUGGGGAAUAUUGGACAAUGGGCGCAAGCCUGAUCCAGCCAUACCGCGUGGGUGAAGAAGGCCUUCGGGUUGUAAAGCCCUUUUGUUGGGAAAGAAAAGCAGCAGGUUAAUACCCCGCUGUUCUGACGGUACCCAAAGAAUAAGCACCGGCUAACUUCGUG
rnacentral:rRNA from 1 species